rnacentral:rRNA from 1 species
AGCGAACGCUGGCGGCAUGCCUAACACAUGCAAGUCGAACGAGACCUUCGGGUCUAGUGGCGCACGGGUGCGUAACGCGUGGGAACCUGCCCUUAGGUUCGGAAUAACUCCCCGAAAGGGGUGCUAAUACCGGAUAAUGUCUUCGGACCAAAGAUUUAUCGCCUUUGGAUGGGCCCGCGUUGGAUUAGCUAGUUGGUAGGGUAAAAGCCUACCAAGGCGACGAUCCAUAGCUGGUCUGAGAGGAUGAUCAGCCACACUGGGACUGAGACACGGCCCAGACUCCUACGGGAGGCAGCAGUGGGGAAUAUUGGACAAUGGGCGAAAGCCUGAUCCAGCAAUGCCGCGUGAGUGAUGAAGGCCUUAGGGUUGUAAAGCUCUUUUACCCGGGAUGAUAAUGGCAGUACCGGGAGAAUAAGCUCCGGCUAACUCCGUG